UUGCUUUAAUUUAUUCUACGUACCAUAGGACUUGUAACAACAUUGUCACCUCUUUAUAAUUUCUUCAAACUGCUCAUCGUAUCAUAUACAUAUAUAUAUAUAUAUAUAUAUAUAUAUAUAUAUAUAAUUAUCAGAAAUGGAUGUAUUUAUUUCGGAAGAAUAUGUAAUGAGAAGAAGAAUCGAGAAAAGGGCAGCUGCAAGUGGAACCAGAUCAGAAUCCGGCAGGCCGAGGAGGAGUAGUGAUCAUCAUCAUGACAAAGAGAACAAAGCCCGGCCAUCGCCUGCUGCUGCUGCUACUUAUCAGAAUGAUAACGUAGUUUUUAGCUGCCUCUCCGCUUAAUUACUGCAUCUAAAUGCAUGUACAUUGUAUUCGUAGCUAGCUAGCAUUUUCGAUUGUGUUAAUGUAGCUUAUUUAUCUUUUUAGAUAGAAAAUAUUUGUACGUUCAUUUUUAUUUGCAGAUUUCAAAAAAUAAAUAAUUAAUGACUAUAUAACUCAAUUUGGUUCAAUUACAUAUUUUUAAUAAAUUUUACAAUAUAGAAUUUUUACUCUCAACUUUAAUCAAAUAUUACCUACCAGAUAUUAAUUAUAUUUCUUAAUCUAGGUUUAUCCUAAAAUGUCAAUCAAAAAGGAACAACCAGAGUAAUAAACAAUUAAUUAUAAGUACUCCGCAUUAAUUAGCUCUUAAAAUUUAUUUUAGACUCUACUAUUUGAUACAGGACCUGCUUACUAUUUUUAUGUAUAUUUAGACCUGAC
rnacentral:lncRNA from 1 species